ensembl:lncRNA
AGAAAACAAAGUCAUAAGUUUGUUGCCUCGCUACAUUUCAAGAUGCGGACAGCUCUCUCUACCUGCUGUUGGAUUAGUGUCAUUGCUGUAGCCCUUGUGAUGCUCUUAUCUGCACCUGAAGGUAUAAAUCUCUUAUUUAAUUGAAUUUAAGAUGUUCCUUAACAUAUUUAUGGAUCUGAGAUUAAUGCUAUAUCUAUAAAACACAAUAUUUCACAUUUUUAUUAAAUUCCCACUUGCAUUAAUUUUUUCUUUGGUGUCUGAAAGAAAAGUGAAAACAUGUUUGCAUGAAGUAAAAUGACUGAAAUAUCAGUUUGUGCUUCAUUAUUCUGAUGAAUAAAAACAAUGACUUACUAACAGUUUCUCUAUCUGUGUGUCUUGUACAGCUGGUUCUGCAUCAGUAGGCCUACGCUGCUGUCAUAAGAGCGCCAUAUUGAAGAAGCCCGAGGGGAUCCAGGAGUGCUUUGAACAGAUAAAACGACACAGCUGCCAUCACCAUGCCUUUGUGAUUGUGACUGAAAGAAAGAGCCUUUGUGUCAGCCCAAAUACCAAAUGGCUCAAGAAGCUUACUGAGACGGGAGAACUACAGUGUCCUAAAAGCAUCUCCUACAAACACAGAUAUGAAUUCCUGGAUGAAGAUGAAUAGCAAACUGUGACCAUAGAGACGCAUCAAUAAAAUAAAAAAUGCUGAUUUUCUUCUCACAGCUUCCACAGGCUCAUGUCAAAAGUUGUUACUGAGAAUAAAUGAUCAAUUUAGAAAGGUGACUCUCUUUUUCCUU